rnacentral:misc_RNA from 1 species
AACGCAUAUUGCACUCUUUGGUAUCCCGAAGAGUAUGCUUGUUUGAGUAUCAUUACGAUAGAGUCGACGUGUUGUUUUCUUUUUCUUUAAACGGAGAAGGAAGAAAGCAUGUCGGCCAAGUGAGCAACUUAAUUCCCUUGAAGCCCCAGGGAUUGAUUCCUUUUCCUGGGACACCUCAUGGGUGGCUCGAAAUGAAGCAAACAGUAAAAAGGGUGGCCUGAUGGUGUCUAGUAGCAUUUUUAUUUAAUCCUCAGUGGAUUAUCUUAGCUCUAAUGCCUUUAGUGCCAGUGUCUCCUUUUCCUGUGAGGUCAAGAAAAUAACAUGUAGCAAUCAAAGGGUGAUCUUUUGUUGCUGUAUGGUUUUAUUUGGUCUCAAAUCAAGCAAGACUACCCGCUGAACUUAA